rnacentral:rRNA from 1 species
GUGAGGAAUUUUCCGCAAUGGGCGAAAGCCUGACGGAGCAAUGCCGCGUGAAGGAUGAAGGCCUAUGGGUUGUAAACUUCUUUUCUCAGAAAAGAAUUAUGACGGUAUCUGAGGAAUAAGCAUCGGCUAACUCUGUGCCAGCAGCCGCGGUAAGACAGAGGAUGCAAGCGUUAUCCGGAAUGAUUGGGCGUAAAGCGUCUGUAGGUUGUUUAAAAAGUAUUCUGUCAAAGAUUAGGGCUUAACCCUAGAUAGGCAGAAUAAACUUUUAAGCUAGAGUUUGGUAGAGGCAGAGGGAAUUCCCGGUGAAGCGGUGAAAUGCGUAGAUAUCGGGAGGAACACCAAAGGCGAAGGCACUCUGCUGGGCCAAUACUAACACUGAGAGACGAAAGCGAGGGGAGCAAAUGGGAUUAGAAACCCUGGUAGUCC